ACAAUAUACAAGGUGCGUGCAUGGUUGUCGUCAGCUCGUGUCCGUGAGGUGUCGGGUUAAGUCCCAUAACGAGACGCAACCCUACCUUUACGUUGCCAUCAGGUAAUGCUGGGGACUCUAAAGGAACUGCCUACGCAAGUAGUGAGGAAGGCGGGGAUGACGUCAAAUCAGCACGGCCCUUACGUCCAGGGCUACACACGUGCUACAAUGGCCGAUACAGAGGGCAGCUACCUGGUGACAGGAUGGCAAAUCUCCAAAGUCGGUCUCAGUUCGGAUCGGAGUCUGCAACCCGACUCCGUGAAGCUGGAUUCGCUAGUAAUCGCGCAUCAGCCACGGCGCGGUGAAUACGUUCCCGGGCCUU
rnacentral:rRNA from 1 species